GAUGAACGCUGGCGGCGUGCCUAAUACAUGCAAGUCGAGCGAACAGACGAGGAGCUUGCUCCUCUGACGUUAGCGGCGGACGGGUGAGUAACACGUGGAUAACCUACCUAUAGGACUGGGAUAACUUCGGGAAACCGGAGCUAAUACCGGAUAAUAUAUUGAACCGCAUGGUUCAAUAGUGAAAGCGGGUUUUGCUGUCACUUAUAGAUGGAUCCACGCCGCAUUAGCUAGUUGGUAAGGUAACGGCUUACCAAGGCAACGAUGCGUAGCCGACCUGAGAGGGUGAUCGGCCACACUGGAACUGAGACACGGUCCAGACUCCUACGGGAGGCAGCAGUAGGGAAUCUUCCGCAAUGGGCGAAAGCCUGACGGAGCAACGCCGCGUGAGUGAUGAAGGUCUUCGGAUCGUAAAACUCUGUUAUUAGGGAAGAACAAAUGUGUAAGUAACUAUGCACGUCUUGACGGUACCUAAUCAGAAAGCCACGGCUAACUACGUG
rnacentral:rRNA from 1 species